rnacentral:rRNA from 1 species
CCUANGGGGGGCAGCAGUGAGGAAUAUUGCUCAAUGGGCGAAAGCCUGAAGCAGCAACGCCGCGUGCACGAUGAAGGCCUUCGGGUCGUAAAGUGCUUUUGAGAGGGACGAGAUAGGACGGUACCUUUUGAAUAAGUCACGGCUAACUACGUGCCAGCAGCCGCGGUAAAACGUAGGUGGCAAGCGUUAUCCGGAUUCACUGGGCGUAAAGCGCGUGCAGGUGGCUCUGUAAGUUGGAUGUUAAAUCUUCCGGCCUAACCGGGAGCGGUCAUUCAAUACUGCAGGGCUUGAGGGCAGAAGAGGGGGGUGGAAUUGCCGGUGUAGUGGUGAAAUGCGUAGAUAUCGGCAGGAACACCUGUGGCGAAAGCGGCCCCCUGGUCUGCUCCUGACACUCAGACGCGAAAGCUAGGGUAGUGAACGGGAUUAGAUACCCUANUANUC